GAUGAACGCUAGCGGCAGGCUUAACACAUGCAAGUCGAGGGGCAGCACUGGUAGCAAUACCUGGUGGCGACCGGCAAACGGGUGCGGAACACGUACGCAACUUACCCUAAACAGGUGAAUAGCCCUCGGAAACGAGGAUUAAUACACCGUAAACUAUAUUGGUGGCAUCAUUGGUAUAGAAUAGCUGAGGCGGUUUAGGAUGGGCGUGCGUCCCAUUAGCUAGUUGGUAGGGUAAUGGCUUACCAAGGCGACGAUGGGUAACUGGUGUGAGAGCGAGACCAGUAACACGGGCACUGGGACACGGGCGCGACUCCUACGGAAGGAAGCAGUAAGGAAUAUUGGUCAAUGGACGCAAGUCUGAACCAGCCAUGCCGCGUGAAGGAUGAAGGUCCUCUGGAUUGUAACCUUCUUUUCCAGGGGAAGAAACCCGGAAAUUCUUUUUCGGUUGACGGUACCCUGGAAUAAGCACCGGCUAACUCCGUGCCAGCCGCCGCGGUAAAAC
rnacentral:rRNA from 1 species